AAACCAACCGGGAUUGCCUUAGUAACGGCGAGUGAAGCGGCAAAAGCUCAAAUUUGAAAUCUGGCGCCUUCGGCGUCCGAGUUGUAAUUUGAAGAAAGUACCUUGGUUGCUAGUCCCUGUCUAUGUUCCUUGGAACAGGACGUCAUAGAGGGUGAGAAUCCCGUCUGGCGGGGGUGCUAGUGCCAUCUAAGGUUCUUUCGACGAGUCGAGUUGUUUGGGAAUGCAGCUCUAAGUGGGUGGUAAAUUCCAUCUAAAGCUAAAUAUUGGCGAGAGACCGAUAGCGAACAAGUACAGUGAUGGAAAGAUGAAAAGAACUUUGAAAAGAGAGUGAAAAAGUACGUGAAAUUGUUGAAAGGGAAGGGCAUUUGAUCAGACAUGGUGUUUUGCGGCCCUCGCUCCUUGUGGGUGGGGUCACCGCAGUUCACUGGGCCAGCAUCAGUUUUGGUGGCAGCAGAAACCCUUAGGAAUGUGACUUUCUCUUCGGAGGAAGUGUUAUAGCCUAAGGUUAUACUGCCAACCGGGACUGAGGACUGCGGCUUCGGCCAAGGAUGCUGGCAUAAUGGUUAAAUGCCGC
rnacentral:rRNA from 1 species